GGAGAGGUGGCAGAGCGGCCGAUUGCACCGGUCUUGAAAACCGGCAGAGGCGCAAGUCUCUCGUGGGUUCGAAUCCCACCCUCUCCG
rnacentral:tRNA from 1 species